GACGAACGCUGGCGGCGUGCUUAACACAUGCAAGUCGAACGGUGACGAGGAGCUUGCUCCUCUGAUCAGUGGCGAACGGGUGAGUAACACGUGAGCAACCUGCCCCAGACUCUGGGAUAACAGUUGGAAACAGCUGCUAAUACCGGAUACGAGACGGAGAGGCAUCUCUACCGUCUGGAAAGUUUUUCGGUCUGGGAUGGACUCGCGGCCUAUCAGCUUGUUGGUGAGGUAAUGGCUCACCAAGGCGACGACGGGUAGCCGGCCUGAGAGGGCGACCGGCCACACUGGGACUGAGACACGGCCCAGACUCCUACGGGAGGCAGCAGUGGGGAAUAUUGCACAAUGGGCGAAAGCCUGAUGCAGCGACGCCGCGUGAGGGAUGACGGCCUUCGGGUUGUAAACCUCUUUCAGCAGGGAAGAAGCGCAAGUGACGGUACCUGCAGAAGAAGCACCGGCUAACUACGUGC
rnacentral:rRNA from 1 species